UCCCUACCAUGCUGCAAUCAUUUUCAAUCACCCAUUCAUAGUUAGCAUGAUGUCUGAUCGCAUGGAUCACUAAAGCCAUAAUUCACUCUAGCUAUCUGUAGCGGCUUAUAGUUUAAUUGGUUGAAACAUAUUGCUCAUAAUGGCGAUAUGCCUACUAAGCAUCCUGCAGAUCUCAAUCUAGCGUCAUUUGGAACCACACACGCUAUCGAUGCUUAUUACGCUCUUGGAACACCUUAAGCAGUUGCUUGUAUUCGUUGAGUUCUUGUUCAGCUUUUUUCCAGUUCUUGCUUGACACUUUGGAUGCGCUGGUCUUCUUUUCGCUCUGAUUCCAACUAAUUUUGGAUGUCCAAAUAAACCCAUGUCGCCCCAUAGACCCAAGCAAGAUAAUAGGCACCUUUUGUCUACACCAAAGAAAAGGUACAUUGUUACUCUAAAACUAAGAAUCCAGUCACUUGUCAAAGCAUGUUUCACUAAACGUUGUUUGCUAAGCAUUGAAAUUUAAACAUAGCAAAAAUGACAAAUUAAUUCUGAAUACCGUUUUACGAAUGAUGGCAUUUGCAGCUGUUUGUAUUGCCUUCUCCUCAGCAACCGGUGUAUCAUGGUAAGUCUGAAUUACAUAAAAACAGAUAGCAAAUGUUAAUAGUUGGCUUGUCCAAGGGAGACAUUGCAAAUUUGAAAUUAUUUUACAACUUGCUACAAUUUUUAUGAGAAUUGCUUUUCAAGUUCCAGCUUAAAUAAAGAACUAAGUCAUUUACCUGACCAAUUUUGACGAUGGUCUGCCUGAAUUUUGGGUUCGAGGUACUACCUUUAUUCAUACUAUGAGUUAAAGGCCUUGCUAUGGUCUCCACCGUAGCAUCAUAAAGUUUGAUGAGUGCUAGCAUGAUAACAAAAAGAUGAGUGCAAGCAAGACAGUUGUGAAACGGAAUGUGCAAGAAUACUGAACAGUUCAAAAUCCAUAUGAUUAACCCACACAAAUGAACUAAGUAUUGCACUUAAGACAAAACAAUCUUUAUUAACCCAGCAAAUCAUACAUUCAACAAUAAGAACUAUUACCCCUUAAUUCCGAACAAGCUAGGGCUGGCAGUGGAAAUCAUUAACGGCCAUUACACUCCAUUUGGACUCAUUUUAUUUGAAUACACAAUCACUUGUCUAAAAAAAAAUGAAGCAGUUUAUUUUAAACACUAGAAAUUCUCUAAACAAAUUAAAGCUUUUGGCAGACAUCAAAAUAAUGUAAGUGCAUCAAUAUGACAAACCGUAAUUCAAACUUAUAGGAAACCCCUGUCAAGAGUUUUUUGAUUCAUCUUGCCUUAUUCGUUGCUAAGACUACAUGAAUUCCUAGAGAUUGUAGAUUGUUUUGACAACUUAGCUCUGUCUGAUUCAGGUCUAACUUAUCCUUUUUAACAUCUUCAAUCAUCAUAGGUGUAUGGACUAAUAUAUUUGGAGGUCCGCGAACAGAUACAACCCAUCUCAAGGACCUUUUCUUGUUUAGCCUCCAUGUAUUAUGUAUGGACCUGUACCUUUUGCCGAAUAUAAUUAUUUAUAAUCUUGUCUAGUUUUGUGUGACUUGAGUCUGCACAUCUAUCUUUACAUGAAUUGCAUGGAAAUGAUGGGUCUUAGAGGCCCAAGGCUCACUUUUUAAAUUUUAUUUCUGUUCUCGCUACUGUGUCAUAGAACUUAUCUUUCACAAGACAUAUUCCUACCAACACCACUCCAAUAGUACUCUUUCAUUUUAGGUAUCUAACCCUAAGCCUUACAUCAUCACUUAUCAUACAAUUCUCAUGAAUCAUGAAGCAUAUAUAUUCGAAUUAUCCACUCUAACAAAUUAAAACAAAUACAUACGUGUAAAUUACUAGAAAAACGUGUCAAAGGAACUAGUGAAAUCCCGUGGAUCUGUUGCUGGUGGGAGGUGGCAGGUAUCCCGUGGAUUUAGUAGAGGUGUGGGAAAGCUGGUCCGGACACCACGGUUAUCAAAAAAGAAAUGGGAAUCCUGAAAACCGAACAAAUUAUUAGUUAUUAAACUACCAGCAACAGGCUUCAAACUUUGUUUUAGUUGAGAAGAAGACCCUGGGUCAGAAGUUAAGACAACUACAAGGAUUGCACAAGUGCAGCAAUGCAGACAAUCAGAAUAUGUCUUUAGCAUUUUCACAAUUCAAUUAUGCAACUACAACCAUCCUUGGUGCCAAAGAUACCCAUCUAUUAAACAAGCUAUGACCUACCAUUUCUUUCUCCAGUAAAAGACCAGAAAACUAGUGCGCAAGAGUAUUCCAAUCAUGCACUACACGUCUGAAGAUAUUUCUGAAUUCUUAUUCCGCUAUACAACCAAUUACCAAUAUAUAUAUAUAUACGAACAACUCGAAAUGGCUACAACUCAAGCACAUAGGUGGUCCUAUGCAUAGGAAUUGGUUUGAUAUAUCGUCACACUACCAUCAUGGGAAAUUGAACACUAUACAAAUAUUAAGAACUAACCGACUUAAAUUCCAUGGAGGACUAUAACACAUCUAAGGGGAAAAACGAUUUCAUUCUUUUCAAAUAAACGUAAACUGCGCAAACGUUUCAAGUAAUACCAAUAUUCAAGCAUAGAGAGCAUGUUCAUCAAUGAAUUAGAUGUUGCUGAUAUUGUGGAGCAAGCUUCAAUAUAGCAAAAAAAAGAAGAUCAAUGCCACCAGUAGGUAGUCGUCGACUAGGUCAUCAGGCAGGUAGGUACACACAUACAUACAUACACGUUAUAGACAAAAACUUAAUCAUCAGAAUACAAGACAUCAAGUGGCGGCUAUUACUCAACGUUGCACAUUAAAACGGAGACACAAUUGAUGAAAGUCAUAACCAAAAGAUAAAAAGACUUACUAUUCAUGAUGGUGAUAGCGUCUUGUUCCAGAGAUGGAGGAGUAACCUACCAUUCAACAGAAGAUUGUCAAAAAGGGAUUUAGGGUUUGAAAUUCGAAUAACCUACCAUUCAACAGAACAUUGUCAAAAUUUUUUCUAAUCGUUAAGGGUUAAAAAUUAAUUAAGUAUAUUUAUGAUAAAACUUUUUUUCAUUAGAAGUUAUCAU
rnacentral:lncRNA from 1 species